UGUAUCUGAGGUCUGACGAGGAUGAGAACCUCCGGGGGCAAGAGGUUCGACUCGAGCGAAGCGAGAGAACGUUGCGUCAGCAACGGCCCGCAGGGCGAGCCACGCAGUGGCGAGUCAUCCUCUAUCACCGACCA
rnacentral:sRNA from 2 species